GUCGAACGGAGCUGUAUUGAAACCUAGUGAUAUACAGCUUAGUGGCGCACUGGUGAGUAACGCGUGGGCAACCUGCCGCAUACCGGGGGAUAACACUUAGAAAUAGGUGCUAAUACCGCAUAAGCGCACAGAGCCGCAUGGCUUGGUGUGAAAAACUCCGGUGGUAUGCGAUGGGCCCGCGUCUGAUUAGCUAGUUGGCGGGGUAGAAGCCCACCAAGGCGACGAUCAGUAGCCGGCCUGAGAGGGCGGACGGCCACAUUGGGACUGAGACACGGCCCAGACUCCUACGGGAGGCAGCAGUGGGGGAUAUUACACAAUGGGGGAAACCCUGAUGCAGCGACGCCGCGUGAGUGAAGAAGUCAUUCGUGAUGUAAAGCUCUAUCAGCAGGGAAGAAAAUGACGGUACCUGACUAAGAAGCCCCGGCUAACUACGUGCCAGCAGCCACGGUAAUACGUAGGGGGCAAGCGUUAUCCGGAUUUACUGGGUGUAAAGGGAGCGUAGACGGCCAGGCAAGUCUGGAGUGAAAGCCCGGGGCUCAACCCCGGGACUGCUUUGGAAACUGUAGGGCUGGAGUGCAGGAGGGGUAAGCGGAAUUCCUAGUGUAGCGGUGAAAUGCGUAGAUAUUAGGAGGAACACCGGUGGCGAAGGCGGCUUACUGGACUGCAACUGACGUUGAGGCUCGAAGGCGUGGGGAGCAAACAGGAUUAGAUACCCUGGUAGUCCACGCGGUAAACGAUGAUUACUAGGUGUCGGGGAGGAAUGACUGCCCGGUGCCGUCGCAAACGCAGUAAGUAAUCCACCUGGGGAGUACGUUCGC
rnacentral:rRNA from 1 species